AACGAACGCUGGCGGCAUGCCUAACACAUGCAAGCCGAACGAGACCUUCGGGUCUAGUGGCGCACGGGUGCGUAACGCGUGGGAACCUGCCCUUAGGUUCGGAAUAACUCCCCGAAAGGGGUGCUAAUACCGGAUAAUGUCUUCGGACCAAAGAUUUAUCGCCUUUGGAUGGGCCCGCGUUGGAUUAGCUAGUUGGUAGGGUAAAAGCCUACCAAGGCGACGAUCCAUAGCUGGUCUGAGAGGAUGAUCAGCCACACUGGGACUGAGACACGGCCCAGACUCCUACGGGAGGCAGCAGUGGGGAAUAUUGGACAAUGGGCGAAAGCCUGAUCCAGCAAUGCCGCGUGAGUGAUGAAGGCCUUAGGGUUGUAAAGCUCUUUUACCCGGGAUGAUAAUGACAGUACCGGGAGAAUAAGCUCCGGCUAACUCCGU
rnacentral:rRNA from 1 species